AUUCCGUUGGCUCAAAUUCCAGAAUGCUUCCAGGAUCCAGUCUGUCUUGUCAACUCUCUGCUAAUCUCAUGCCAAGCCACUGACAGCUACUGCCUAGAUUAUUGCAGUCGCUUCCUAGAUGGCCCGGCUACUGUUCUGGCUUCUCUCGAGUCUGCAGUUAUGACGGCAGCUAAAUGAGCAGCUUGACACCUAAGUCAGAACAUGUGCUUUCCUGGCUCAAAAACUUUGCAACGCUUCUCUGUUGGACAUGGGAUAAAAGUCACGGUUCACCCUCUGCUGGCCAAACAGACCCCAUCUGUUCUGCUCCUACUCUCUCCGCUCUCUCCAGACACUCUUUUCUGACUUUAUCUCUUGGACCACUGUUUGGGUUUCUUCCUGUUCCUUCCCAAUGCACAUACUUGCUCAGAGCCUUUUAAAUUAGCUUUGUUUCUGCCUGAAAAGCCCCACCCCCACCCAUCUCUAAGACUCCCAUGGCUCAUCCCUCCCUUGAAGGUUUUUAACUGAGUGUCCCUCUUUCUAUUUCUUUCUAAGUGGCCUCUCUAAAGUUACUUCCAGACCACUCUGCACGAGUUUCCUGAUCUCUCUACUUUAUCACUCGACGUUUACCACUCCUUUCCACUGAAGAGACUCUACGUAUCCAUCUCACUAUUCCUCUCUUGCCAGAAGCUACAUUCCACAGGUUAUGGAUUUCAUCAUUAGUAUUUCAACCACCCCAAAACCUUCGGUGCCUGCAGCCAUACUCGCUGUUUGAUUGGAAGAAUGGGUUCUAACGUCUACAACCCCAUGGGUGGCCUAUUCAGAGAAUUUGUCCAACUUGGGGACCAGUGAGCAGAGUCUGCAGACAUCCUGGCAGCUCCCUGAUGAGGGGGAAGGACAAGAAAGUGUCAUGGACUCCAGGCUGGGGAAGUUCUUGCUACAGAAAAGAAGCUUCACAUGCUGUGUUGACUGAGAGAAUGUUAAAUAGACGAUGAAGUAGACAAGUUGAAUUCUGCCCUCUGGAUCAAGUCAUCUCAGGGGGCCCAAAACUGUCUGAUUGUGGAGUGUGGCAAAGAGCAGAGCUGUCACCCAGUAGCCAGCAUGACUGAGCUUGAAUGGCUGAACACUGCAGUCUGUGUAUUCUGACAUGUUUUACAUGACACUAAAAGGCACAUAGCACAAACCA